rnacentral:rRNA from 1 species
GACGAACGCUGGCGGCGUGCCUAAUACAUGCAGGUAGAACGCUGAAGGAGGAGCUUGCUUCUCUGGAUGAGUUGCGAACGGGUGAGUAACGCGUAGGUAACCUGCCUGGUAGCGGGGGAUAACUAUUGGAAACGAUAGCUAAUACCGCAUAAGAGUAGAUGUUGCAUGACAUUUGCUUAAAAGGUGCAAUUGCAUCACUACCAGAUGGACCUGCGUUGUAUUAGCUAGUUGGUGAGGUAACGGCUCACCAAGGCAACGAUACAUAGCCGACCUGAGAGGGUGAUCGGCCACACUGGGACUGAGACACGGCCCAGACUCCUACGGGAGGCAGCAGUAGGGAAUCUUCGGCAAUGGACGGAAGUCUGACCGAGCAACGCCGCGUGAGUGAAGAAGGUUUUCGGAUCGUAAAGCUCUGUUGUAAGAGAAGAACGAGUGUGAGAGUGGAAAGUUCACACUGUG